ACACUCAUGUUUUCCUUCAGAUCGUAUAAAUAUUUCGCUUUCUACUAAAGAUUUCCGUGGGGAGGAACAUCGUGAGUUUCAAUUAAUUUUUUGAUGCCCUGCUUACAACGGGGCU